GAUGAACGCUGGCGGCGUGCCUAAUACAUGCAAGUAGAACGCUGAAGGAGGAGCUUGCUCUUCUGGAUGAGUUGCGAACGGGUGAGUAACGCGUAGGUAACCUGCCUGGUAGCGGGGGAUAACUCUUGGAAACGAUAGCUAAUACCGCAUGACAACAGUUAUUGCAUGAUAACUGUUUAAAAGGGGCAACUGCUCCACUACCAGAUGGACCUGCGUUGUAUUAGCUAGUUGGUGAGGUAACGGCUCACCAAGGCGACGAUACAUAGCCGACCUGAGAGGGUGAUCGGCCACACUGGAACUGAGACACGGCCCAGACUCCUACGGGAGGCAGCAGUAGGGAAUCUUCGGCAAUGGACGGAAGUCUGACCGAGCAACGCCGCGUGAGUGAAGAAGGUUUUCGGAUCGUAAAGCUCUGUUGUAAGAGAAGAACGAGUGUGAGAGUGGAAAGUUCACACUGUGACGGUAUCUUACCAGAAAGGGACGGCUAACUACGU
rnacentral:rRNA from 1 species